AUUUCAUUUCUUGGCAUGUGGUUAUCUAGCUUUUUCAACACCAUUUAUUAAAGAGACUAUCCUUUCUUUAUUGUGUACUUUUGACACCUUUGUUGAUGAUUAGUUGGCCACAUAAACGUGGAUUUAUUUCUGGGAUUCCUAUUCGAAUCUGUAGACUACUUUGUGUAUUGCAGACAUUUUGACAAUAAUGAUUCUUCUGAUCCUGAACAUGGGAUAGCUUUCCAUUUAUUUGUGUUAUCUCCAGUUCUUUCAUAUAUGUAUUAUAGCUUUUAGCAUACACAUCUUUCCCCUCGUUGGUAAAACUUAUUCCUAAGUAUUUUAUUCCUUUUGAUGCUAUUGUAAAUGGGAUUGCUUUCUUAAUUUCUUUCUUGGAUACUUCACUGUUAGUGAAGUGUAAUUGAUUUUUUUUUUUUUUUUUUGAGACGGAGUCUCNNNNNNNNGCGCCGCCUCCCGGGUUCACGCCAUUCUCCUGCCUCAGCCUCCCGAGUAGCUGGGACUACAGGCGCCCGCCACUACGCCCGGCUAACUUUUUGUAUUUUUUUUUAGUAGAGACGGGAUUUCACCUUGGUCUCGAUCUCCUGACCUCGUGAUCCACCCGCCUCGGCCUCCCGAAGUGCUGGGAUUACAGGCGUGAACCACCGCGCCCGGCCGUGUAAUUGAUUUUUGUAUGUUGAUUUUGUAUCCUGAAACUUUACUGGAUUCGUUUCUUCAUUCUAACAGUUUUUAGUGGCGCAUUUAGGGUUUUCUGUAUAUAGGAUCAUGUCACCUGCAGAGACAAUUUUACUUCUUCCUUUCUGAUUUGGAUGCCUUUUAUUUCUUUUCCUUGCCUAAUUUCUGUGGCUAGGAUUUCUAGUACUAUGUUGAAUGUAAGUGAUAAGUGUGGGCAUCCUUGUCUGUCCUUGUCAC
rnacentral:lncRNA from 1 species